CAAUGACUCCAAGCUACCCAUCCUUAUCGCUCGCGCCUCAGAAUACGGAACAAACCAGAAACCGUCAACGGGCGUAAAUGUGUAUUCAUAUAAAUUACUCCAAAUCGCACUAAUUUGACUUUAGAGCAAUUAGUCAAUGGCCGGCGCGCGCAUUGUUUACAUAUCCGUCAGAUUGACACUUUAUAAUUAAAUUAUGCCGUCUUGUGCCGUUCCAACAUGUAAGAAUGCUACUGGAAUUACGAAGAAAGUGCAUGGGAUCAUGUUUUAUCCGAUACACAGCCAGAGUUGCCUCGCAAUCAAAUUCAAGUAUUGGUGAUGUUUUUGAUUUGGAUUCUGUUUUUGACUCCAAGAAAAGUUAAACUAAAAGCACUACUGCGCCGUAAACAAAUGUUUUGUUGUCGAUAUGUUUACAUAAUAAAGAACCUUAAGUUUCUUUUUUGUUUUACUUGGCAUUCUAAAAUUUAUAUUCGACUUUUGUAAUUGACUUUUAAAUAACAUAUUAUACCUACAUAUAGUAUAUUACACUAUUUAAUAGAAAUAAAUAAUCAUCUACACUUAGUUACUUCGGAGUAAAAAUUAAAUUCAUAGGUAGGUAGGUACUAUCUAUGCCUAUGGCCAGUCAUGUCGUCUCGUUCUAUCGCAAAGAAUCACCAUUUGAUAAGAGAGAUUUUUGCUCUCGAAAAACGGAAAUGGAUAGUUAACACUGUGGCCGUGUGUACUUAUUUCACUUACUUAUUUUUUACUUGUUUAACAUCUCUUUAAAAAAUUACAUAAUUUUACCCCAAAAAUGGGGGUGUCACACGGCGCUAGUAACACUAAAGGGGGUAGAGGGGCGCGGGAGGGGAAGUAUUUUGGACACAAGUUGCCGCGUAGAAAUGUUAUCGAACACUCCUUCUGGUUUGUUCUGUAUUCUG